GGCCAAAAGGGCAUGGAAGAGGAGGUCAUGAGACAUGUGUUGAUGUGGAGGUCGACGGGCAAGCGUCAGGAUCUCCCACAGGGUGACACCAUAAGACCACACGUCACUGCUGCUGCUAAAUGCUCCCUAAAAGAUGUGCGUGUUUCACGCGUCUCGUCCUAACCAACAUGGCGCACUAGGGUAUUAAAGGAAGAAGUUACAGGAGACAGCGAAGAAUGAGCUUGUUAAACAUCUCAUCCUAACCUACAAGGCACGGGAAGAAGUUAAGGAAUCCCACAGAAAAUCAUACUCCAAUCCACUUUUUUCUCUGCAACAGACUUCAUUUGCUUUUAUGAUGAGCAUGACAUGCCGCACCUAUGAGGACACCAGGAAGGCCACUUCUGCAACGUGCACUUCGCCCUCUAAGCUGUGUGCCUUCUCAAACUACAGGAGGCAUAAGGAACAUGAAAAGGUUGCCAUCCCUACCACACCAUCAUGCGUUUCAUGCCAGUUGUGCAACUGCACUCAUUGAUCCACAGGUUAGUGUCCAGCAUCUGCAGCACCUGUACCCACAAAGGACAUUGAGUUAAGGAAUAGAGGUAUCCCGCGAGACUGGUCCAUACGACAAGUGCUGCCGGAAGAAGACAAGGGGGUGCCAAGCCUGAUGAAACCAAAGACUAAUUUCUCUAUGCAAGUUAAAAGAUGUGCUGAUCUCCAAGGAAGAACUGAGGGAAGCCCCACUCAAGCUGAUGGAAAGGCCCAAAUUGUGAAUCCAUCUUAAGAAAGAUGCAGUUCCUUUUGCCAUCAAUAGCCAAGUAAAAUACCCAGCCCACCUGUCAUCCGCAGUGUUGAUCUGAAGGCCAAGUUCUUUGCCACUGCAGAUGAUACCCUGCACAGGUACUGUCAAAUGCAACUUGCAGAGGAGAAUCAGAAGUUCACUACAUUCAUCACACCUUAUGGCCUAUUUCAGCGUUGUAGAGGUCCAAAUGGUAGUUGUUGCCACAGGAGAUGCCUACUGCCUUCAAGGUGAUUAGGCUCUGCAAGGUGUCAUGAAUUGCUUCCAAGGUAGUCAACAUCAGCCUGCUGUUCGAUUAGGAUUUCUCCAGCCAUCUGCACUAAAAACCCCGAGAUGUUGACAAGGUAUUGCAAGUUUGGCUUUACAUUUGUCUCACAAGGACAAGUUUGUGAUCACCACCUUCAGCGUUACCUUCUGCAGAUUUUAGAUCUUCGAAGACAGCAUUUCAGCAGACCCCAAUAAAGCAGCAACAACGAGGACUUCCCUACCCUGAUGAAUUUUCGUUCAUUCAUGGGGUCAGUGAACCAAUUGGCCAUAUGCAAGAGAAAGCUUAUGCAGACCCCCAAGCAUGAAUUUGUAUGGACCACAGAUCAGGACGGAACAUUUUGCAGAGAAGUCUUCACUGUCUAGCCCACCAAUCUGACUCGACAAACUUGGAUAUGCCCUUCUACAGGACCAUAGUAAUGGAAGACUCCACUUAGCCGUGUGGGUCUUGUGUCCUUGCAGAUGCCAAGUCACGCUAUGCCACAAUUGAGUUGAAGGCGUUGCCUGUUAUCUGGACUACGUCUAAAUGCAAACUGUACGUGAAAGGCUGCCAACAUUUUACUACGCUGAUCUAACUGUUACACUCUGGUUAUGGUCGAGAAUCCCUGUUUGCAAUGUUUGAAGAAAAAACCUCAGUGUCUGUUCACAGCCAUGUGAUGUGGUGGCAUUCCCCCAUUGGCCAGCUCGCACCAAAGGACAAAACCAACUGUGUUGAGGGCAGUCCAUACACCAGAACCAUUGCCACCACCACUCAUGCAGUAGCCCAAGGAGACUAUGCCUCACCCCAGAAUACUGACAGGAUUAUUCAAGAUCUUCAUGCUUCAGUGAGGGUUGACCCAUCAUACAUCUGUCUUUGAGACUGCAAACAUUUCUUACCAAAUGUAAUUAUUCGUUGUUCCCAUUCUGGAAACUAUGGGAUAGCCUCUCAGUCAAUGGUAAACUUGUACUUUAUCGAGCAAGUAAUGUAGUUCCUGCCGCCUUUUGCCGCUGCACUCUUACAGCCCCAUAACAGUCACAGAGGAAUAGACACCACAAGUCGACAGGCACGACAGACUGUUUAUUGGCUAGGAAUCUACUCUUGUCAUCACAAGUACAUUCAAGCUUGCGAGCCUUGCUGGAUUUUACAACCCUGCCUCAGUAGGAACCUCUUCAAAAUGAUGACCACCCUACUAGGCUCUUAAGUUUGUCUGUCAGAGGAUUUCAUUCCUUGUCGUGACCGACAGGUUAUCUGGCUGGCCUUUAGUCACCCCAUACUACAGAAACUGGAACAGUUACCUUACCUAGGAGACAGGGAAGACAGAUGAAGAUAAGAACAGCAAAGAUGAUUUCCAAGUAGAACAACAGUACUUGAGUGGCCGAAAUAUCUCAAGUCCCUAUCAUAGCAUGACAGGCAUUUUGAUAGUGAAGGUAUUUGCAGCUUUGCUCAAACCUGUUACAGCUUACCUUGCACGAAUCAAGACUACCACUGCAUUCAUGAAUUAAUCCCUAGAUAACUUAUUUAAUUUUAUGAUUAAAAGAACUGGCUUGUUCCACCUAAAUAUGUUGCUAAUUUAUUUCAUUAACCUAAAAAUAGGUGCUUGAAAUCAAGUUGGUAGCUUACUGGUUCUAGAUAUUAAAUAUAAUAUAAUUAACAAUAUUAAUACAGCUAACUAAAAUAUAUAUUGCACUUUCAACAAGAGCUUUCCUCCUUUGUGGUCAAUGUGGUCGUCCACAUUUAAUGGAAUUUCCUCUGGCUA